UACGUAGGGGGCUAGCGUUGUCCGGAAUCAUUGGGCGUAAAGAGCGUGUAGGCGGUCCGGUAAGUCCGCUGUGAAAGUCGGGGGCUCAACCCUCGAAUGCCGGUGGAUACUGUCGGGCUAGAGUCCGGAAGAGGCGAGUGGAAUUCCUGGUGUAGCGGUGAAAUGCGCAGAUAUCAGGAAGAACACCCGUGGCGAAAGCGGCUCUCUGGAACGGUACUGACGCUGAGACGCGAAAGCGUGGGGAGCGAACAGG
rnacentral:rRNA from 1 species